rnacentral:rRNA from 1 species
GACGAACGCUGGCGGCGUGCUUAACACAUGCAAGUCGAACGGAAAGGCCCUGCUUUUGUGGGGUGCUCGAGUGGCGAACGGGUGAGUAACACGUGAGUAACCUGCCCUUGACUUUGGGAUAACUUCAGGAAACUGGGGCUAAUACCGGAUAGGAGCUCCUGCUGCAUGGUGGGGGUUGGAAAGUUUCGGCGGUUGGGGAUGGCCUCGCGGCUUAUCAGCUUGUUGGUGGGGUUGUGGCUUACCAAGGUUUUGACGGGUAGCCGGCCUGAGGGGGUGACGGGCCACAUUGGGACUGAGAUACGGCCAAGACUCCAACGGGGGGCAGCAGUGGGGAAUUUUGAACAAUGGGCGGAGGCCUGUGGCAGCAACGCCGCGUGCGGGUUGACGGCCUUCGGGUGUUAACCCGCUUUCGCCGGUGACAAACGGUUAGUGACGGUAAUGUGUAAAGGAGCACCGGCUAACUACGUG